rnacentral:rRNA from 1 species
GAUGAACGCUAGCGGCAGGCUUAAUACAUGCAAGUCGAGGGGUAACAGGUCUUCGGAUGCUGACGACCGGCGAACGGGUGAGUAACACGUACGUAACCUACCUUUAACUGAGGAAUAGCCCCGGGAAACUGGGAUUAAUACCUCAUAACAUAAAUUUCUGGCAUCAGUGAUUUAUUAAAGCUCAGGCGGUUAAAGAUGGACGUGCGGCCCAUUAGGUAGUUGGUGGGGUAAUGGCCUACCAAGGCUCUGAUGGGUAGCCGAGCUGAGAGGCUGAUCGGCCACACUGGAACUGAUACACGGUCCAGACUCCUACGGGAGGCAGCAGUGGGGAAUUUUGCGCAAUGGACGAAAGUCUGACGCAGCGACGCCGCGUGAGGGAUGAAGGUCUUCGUGAUCGUAAACCUCUGUCAGGAAGGAUUAACGUACUUUGGUUAAUACCCAGAGUGCUUGACUAACU